rnacentral:rRNA from 1 species
UGCGUAGGCGGGUUUCUAAGUCAGAGGUGAAAGCCCGGGGCUCAACCCCGGAAUUGCCUUUGAAACUGGAAAACUAGAAUCUUGGAGAGGUCAGUGGAAUUCCGAGUGUAGAGGUGAAAUUCGUAGAUAUUCGGAAGAACACCAGUGGCGAAGGCGACUGACUGGACAAGUAUUGACGCUGAGGUGCGAAAGCGUGGGGAGCAAACA